UAGCGGAUAAAGCUCCCGGGAGGAUGCAUCGGUGCGGGGCGCGUCGCCCCCCUCAGGCCACCAGAGCCCGGAUACCUCAGAAAUUCGGCUCUGGGUCUGUGGGGAGCGAAAUGCAACCCAAACCCCGUUUCCCCGAAGCCCCGCGCAGAUAAACACGCACAAGCACGCACACAGACGUCGCCUCGGCCCGCACUCGCAGCCGCAGGUCCGGGCGUCAGGGAAGAGCCCGGGGGACCCGCGAUGGGUCGCCGCCUUCGCCUCGUAGCCCCGGGCACAGCUGCUCGCCCUCGCAGCUCGCUGAUGGCGACAGAAGUGCCCAGCGUCACCGGCCCGGCGCGACGGCGCAACGGCGCAACGGCCGGUCUGGGCCUGCAGCCUCGGCGGCCCGGCCGGGAGGGGAGCGGCCGCCGGACACCGGUACCUGUGGAGAGGAAAAGCGUGUUGGAUGUCCUGAGCUGGAGUUACAGGCAGUUAUGAGAUGUACGACGUGGAUGCUGGGGACCACAAACUGAUCCUCUGUGAGAGCAGCACGUGUUCCUGACCACUAAACAGCUCCCCAAAUGAACAUUCUUUACGGUAUAAGAGUACAGAGACUAAUUCCCCCUUAGGCACACUGCCUGCUGUGUUAUAAGGGAACCUCCCCUAAAAUCAUCAAAUAGAAAAUUAUGUG